GUUCAGAUUCUGAUUCUCACAAAAAGCUUACGUUUUUCUUCUUUUGACUGAAAUGAAGUGAACGUCCCCAGCAAAACUAAGAGCAGUAACUACCCAUAGGGCACCCAUGAGGCCCUGAGCACCGGUCCUCCCCGACCAGUAAGGAGGUCCCAGGAUGCGGAUCCGGGGGCCGGGGCACCGGGAGAGGAGGGACACCCAGACCUAACUCUGCCCCAGGCCCGAGCAGCCCUCCGCCAGGGCCCGGGCCUCCCGCGGCGCCUCGGCCGGGGAACGUGACUCAGGAAAGCGCCGGGUGGCCGCGGCCUAGCGCGCUGUCUCCGCGGCCUCCGGGCCCGGCCCUCCCCGUCUUACCUGGGGGCGGGCGGGGGUCCGCGGCCUGGACCCUGGUCUUCCCGCGGCGGUGACGCGGCGGCGGCGGGGCGGCGGCGGGGGGUCUGACUCGGCCCGGAUCUGGCUCCGCGAACCGGCGAUGAAUCAGCCCGAUUCCAUUCAAAA